CUGCGGAGGGAUCAUUGCUGGAACGCGCUUCGGCGCACCCAGAAACCCUUUGUGAACUCAUACCACUGUUGCCUCGGCGCUGCUGGCCCUAGGGUCUCCCACCACGGUGGGAAAAAAGCACGCCGGUGGCCAA
rnacentral:rRNA from 1 species